rfam:Ovis aries breed Texel chromosome 17, whole genome shotgun sequence.
UCCCUGGUGGCUCAGUUGGUAAAGAAUCUGCCUGCAAUGCAGGACACCCUGGUUCGAUUCCUGGGUUGGGAA